GACCUGGUGGUGUAAGAUAACACACCUGCUAUAUUUGCGCCAAAUUGAUGUACCGUCAGCAGGACAUCCCCGUUCAAAUCGGGGCCAGGUCA